UAGGGAAUCUUCCACAAUGGACGCAAGUCUGUUGGAGCAACGCCGCGUGAGUGAAGAAGGUUUUCGGAUCGUAAAGCUCUGUUGUUGGUGAAGAAGGAUAGAGGCAGUAACUGGUCUUUAUUUGACGGUAAUCAACCAGAAAGUCACGGCUAACUACGUGCCAGCAGCCGCGGUAAUACGUAGGUGGCAAGCGUUGUCCGGAUUUAUUGGGCGUAAAGCGAGCGCAGGCGGAAUGAUAAGUCUGAUGUGAAAGCCCACGGCUCAACCGUGGAACUGCAUCGGAAACUGUCAUUCUUGAGUGCAGAAGAGGAGAGUGGAAUUCCAUGUGUAGCGGUGGAAUGCGUAGAUAUAUGGAAGAACACCAGUGGCGAAGGCGGCUCUCUGGUCUGCAACUGACGCUGAGGCUCGAAAGCAUGGGUAGCGAACAGG
rnacentral:rRNA from 1 species